rnacentral:tRNA from 1 species
GACGAGGUAGCCGGUGGCGAAGGUGGGGCCGGAGAUGCCCCAGGUGUCGCCCGGUGCCGCCAGUAGGGUCAUCGUCUGCUCCUGUCC